CUACCUCCGAUUGCCGUGCGCUGCAGUGCUUUGCUCCACUGUCUUGCUUGGUACUGUAGCCUACCAUCGCUUUGCAACCUCCUCCACCGCCUCCUCGCGCUCUCCCGCGGAUGCUUCAGCUUUGCAUGACCGACAUCCAGCGGAUGGUUAGUCCACCCCCUCGAGCCCGUCAGGACACAGGGAGUCCACGACUCAGGUCAGGGCACCUUGCGGAUUGGUGAACGCAAACGGGACGAGGAGAGUCUGCCGUUGAAAUUCCCCAGGAUUUUAUUUUGCUCGUUAGGAGACAAAGAGGAGGGGAACGGCAAAGGAAACUGCUGUCUUUGCCCAGCUCCAGAGCUGUGCUGUGUGUGUUACAUGGACUAAAGGAGACAAGGAAGAGUGAUGCCAGUACCAGACCAGCCAGCAGAACAGGAACAGGGGGCCGUGUUGCCCCCGGUGAUGGCUGCCUCGAACGGGGAUGGAUCUGAGACUGAGACCACCUCCUCCAUCCUGGCCUCAGUCAAAC